rnacentral:lncRNA from 1 species
CGAAGAUCCCUGGUAAAUAACGAAAAAGAGUAAACGAAAAGAGGAGAAGAAAAAAAAUAAUAGUUAAAAAAUCGUACUUUUCCGUCUUUUGGAUCCGUUAUUCGAGUAAAAACACAUCACCACAUCUUCUCCUUCUCUUACCCCACAAGAAGGAGUUUCUUGGUCGCGUUCUUCACGGUUCUGUAUACUCGCUUGCUAUCCUUCCUUCCCUCUGGCUCACUUCUCCUCCGUGACCGCCAUCAUCGCCCUCAGAUCGAUCCCCAAUCGAUAGAAAUUCACCACCGAAACACCAGAAAGAAUCCUAACCAGUGAGAAGUCGUCACCAGAGAGCGAGGGUGCCCCGCUCGAUGGCGGUAGAAUGCACGGUGCGCAGCGUCGGAGCGAGCGGACAUCAUGACGGAGGGUGGACGGAAACGGUGGUGAAGUGAACAUAAAGAAAACCGCGCUAUAUAUUGGCCGAGGCCCAGGCCCAUCUCAUUAUAGUAAUCAACAAUAAC